ensembl:lncRNA
AUGCCAGCAGACUCCUCCUGGAUAGACAUUGAACAAACAUUUUGUGGAAAUAUUAAAGUUGCAGAUCUGCCCUUUAUCAGCACCAAAAUCAAACAUCAUAGUUGUUACCAGAACAUUAGCAUAAAAGCAUCUCUGCAAGCCUGGUGGGAGUUUCUUAAAAUUAAUGGGUCUUCGCUUACUCUUUGCCAAAACACACCUCUCUGGAACAAUCCAGACAUCAUACAAAACAAAAAGGCAAUACACUUUCCAACUUGGCAUAUCAAAGGGAUAACACAUCUGAAACAUGUUUUCACAAGAGACAAGUUUACCUCUUUUGAAGAACUAGUGUCUCACUAUGAAAUCACUAGUGCCAAUUUCUUAGAAUACCAACAACUAAAGUCAAUACUUAAUGCAAAAAGUAAGAAUACUGCCAUCCACAUGCAACCACCACCAGUAAUAGAGCGAUUUAUUGAUAUAUCAGGGAAAAGGACAGUAUCCAAAAUCUAUAUCUUAAUUUCCAAUGUAGACCAGACAGUGAGCCUUCCGAUCUCUAAAUGGGAAGCUGAUCUCAAUAUCACCACUAAUUACACGUUCUGGAAUAACAUAUGUUCUAAUUUAUUCAGAAUGACAAAAAAUACAAAUUUACAACUAAUACAAUACAAAAUUCUUCAUAGAACUCACUAUACAGGACAAAGGAUGUUCCAAAUGGGUCUCACAAACUCAAAUAUUUGCCCUCACUGUACAGAUUACACAGCAGAUAGAUUCCUACAUGCAUUCUGGUCAUGCUCACCUGUGCAGCAAUUUUGGCAAAGAGUAUGUGAACACCUGUCAACCCAGUUAAGCUGUCCAAUCCCAGCAGCCCCUGCACUUUGUCUUCUAGGAGAUCUAAGUGGGCUUGAUCUAGAGACAAACUCAUCACACACACUUCUUUCUGCCCUCUGUGUCGCAAAGAAAAUCAUCCUCAUGAACUGGAAAACUAAAAAAAAAUUAAGCAUUACUCAAUACCUGAACAGCUUGUUAGAUUAUACCACCUUAGACACAUUGUCUGCUUCAUCAAAUCAAUGA